rnacentral:rRNA from 1 species
CAGCUCUCCGAGUGGUAGGGAUGAUUAUUGGGCCUAAAGCAUCCGUAGCCGGCGCUGUAAGUUUUCGGUUAAAUCUGUACGCUCAACGUACAGGCUGCCGGGAAUACUGCAGCGCUAGGGAGUGGGAGAGGUAGACGGUACUCGGUAGGAAGGGGUAAAAUCCUUUGAUCUAUUGAUGACCACCUGUGGCGAAGGCGGUCUACCAGAACACGUCCGACGGUGAGGGAUGAAAGCUGGGGGAGCAAACCGGAUUAGAGACCCGAGUAGUCC